rnacentral:tRNA from 1 species
AAGAGGGGUGUAUACAACUAGUGCUGCUAAUACAAGUCACCGCGAUUAACACUCUCGGCCCUCUU